rnacentral:rRNA from 1 species
AACGAACGCUGGCGGCAGGCUUAACACAUGCAAGUCGAACGCCCCGCAAGGGGAGUGGCAGACGGGUGAGUAACACGUGGGAACGUGCCCUUCGCUUCGGAAUAGCCCCGGGAAACUGGGAGUAAUACCGAAUACGCCGUAUUGGGAAAGAUUUAUCGGCGAAGGAUCGGCCCGCGUUGGAUUAGCUAGUGGGCGGUGUAAUGGACCCCCAAGGCGACGAUCCACAGCUGGUCUGAGAGGACGACCAGCCACACUGGGACUGAGACACGGCCCAGAGUCCUACGGGAGGCAGCAGUGGGGAAUCUUGGACAAUGGGCGAAAGCCUGAUCCAGCCAUGCCGCGUGAGUGAAGAAGGCCUUAGGGUUGUAAAACUCUUUUACCAGAGACGAUAAUGACGGUACCUGGAGAAAAAGCCCCGGCUAACUUCGUGCCAGCCGCCGCGGUAAUAC